GGUCCGGUAGCUCCGCUGGAAAGAGCAUCUGCGGUGUAAGCAGACGAGCAUGCGGUCGAAUCGCAUCCGGAUCA
rnacentral:tRNA from 1 species